GCACUCAGGAGGCAUGGCACUCUGGCGAGCAUACCAGAGGGCCCUGGCUGCACAUCCGUGGAAAGUCCAGGUUCUGACAGCUGACUUUCCUUUUAGGGUAUGUCCUGACAUCACCCAUGUACCUUGUACAGGGUCACUGAUGGGCCUAGGUGACAUUAUCUCACAGCAGCUGGUGGAAAGGCGGGGUCUCCAGCAACACCAGACUGGCCGGACCUUGACCAUGGCAUCCCUUGGCUGUGGCUUUGUGGGCCCUGUGGUCGGAGGCUGGUACAGGGUUUUGGACCACUUAAUCCCCGGCACCACCAAGGUGAAUGCACUCAAGAAGAUGUUGUUAGAUCAGGGGGGCUUUGCCCCAUGUUUCCUUGGCUGCUUUCUCCCACUGGUAGGGGUACUCAAUGGAAUGUCAGCCCAGGACAAUUGGGCCAAACUGAAGCGGGUGAGUGGAUCUCUGGCUAGCAGGUGAGCUGCCCCAGGGUUAGGAGACAGGAAGGAGUGAUGUGCCAGGAGCGUCUCGGGCUCAGGAGGAAAGGAGCAUAGGGGGGAUUGGUCCGGAAGUGUCUUCUUGGAACAGAAUCUGUGUGUGAUAUCCAUGCAGGAACAUGGCAGCCGCUUGGAUAUGUAAGUGUUAACUGUUCCUCCCUGUCUUUGCAG
rnacentral:lncRNA from 1 species